CUCCAAUCUUACCCGCAUCAUAUUUAAAAUCAAACAGCAAUCACAAACAUACUUGUAAUCAUUGGAAGAUCAAGGUUACAAAGAUUAGCUGAAACGGAACAAAACCAACUGAAUCAUAAGGAUGCGGUGUCAGUGGGUUCUCCUGAUUGUGGUAGGUGUGCCGUGGAUUGUGCACAACGGGGUGAUAGGUGUGAAGAAAAAGGUAUUAGAUAAAGACUUGCAGAGAGAGACAAAGCCUAAAGGACCUGUUGCAAGGGGUAAACUUAUUGAAAUCAACAACUUUACAAUUGUCACAGGCGCUAAUCACAAGUAUUUUUCCCCGGCUCUCGUUAACCACGUGGGGUCAUUCUGUUUCUGGGAACCAACUCUCAAAAUCGUGGUGUGGGACCUCGGUUUGACCGCCAAAGAGGCGGAGACUGUGAAAAGCUGGUCCAGCGUGACGUAUAGGAGGUUCCCCU